GUGGGGAAUAUUGGACAAUGGGCGAAAGCCUGAUCCAGCCAUGCCGCGUGUGUGAAGAAGGUCUUCGGAUUGUAAAGCACUUUAAGUUGGGAGGAAGGGCAAUAAGUUAAUACCUUGCUGUUUUGACGUUACCGACAGAAUAAGCACCGGCUAACUUCGUGCCAGCAGCCGCGGUAAUACGAAGGGUGCAAGCGUUAAUCGGAAUUACUGGGCGUAAAGCGCGCGUAGGUGGUUUUGUAAGUUGGAGGUGAAAUCCCCGGGCUCAACCUGGGAACUGCCUCAAAAACUGCAUGACUAGAGUACGGUAGAGGGUAGUGGAAUUUCCUGUGUAGCGGUGAAAUGCGUAGAUAUAGGAAGGAACACCAGUGGCGAAGGCGACUACCUGGACUGAUACUGACACUGAGGUGCGAAAGCGUGGGGAGCAAACAGGAUUAGAAACCCCUGUAGUCC
rnacentral:rRNA from 1 species